UCUUAACCAGGAACAUUGUAACCAAAGGCGGAUGUAAAACAGACCCACAGACCCAGACAAGGCACUCAGAGGCAGCCCAGACUACGAACAUCCACGUGGCGACAGGGGCCGCGAACAUCAAUACAGACCCUGGAUGCGGCAGAAUCUCAGCCCCAGAGGUGGCCCUCAGCGACAGUUCUAACCCAGACAUCACCAUGGCUUCAGGUGACAAUGCAGGCCACUCACCUGGUCCUGCCCUGUAGCAUCUGCAGUCGUGACUCUGGCCACAGUGUACUCACAGCUCUGCUAGUCUAUCGUUCCCACCUCUCCAUCAAGCAUUAAUUCAUUGGAGACAAGGCUGCCACCUGAGCUGUGAAGGUGGAGGCCUCAAAA
rnacentral:lncRNA from 1 species